GGCUCAAUGGUCUAGUGGUAUGAUUCUCGCUUUGGGUGUCAUGUUUCACAUUUGCGAGAGGCCCCGCGUUCGAAUCGCGGUUGAGCCC